AAGUCGUAACAAGGUUUCCGUAGGUGAACCUGCGGAAGGAUCAUUAUCCUUUAGCUUAGUAAUCUAAACAGUUACUAAAAGCGCAUGCACCUAAGUGUUGCGUAAAAAUGCACAGUGGAGCUGCCUCGCCAGGUCCACUACUCCAAACCCAUGCUCGCUAUCGAGUAUGGUCGGGUACCUAUGCUACGCAAGUAGUGUAAGCGGCAGAUGCGUGUCUGCCGUGUGGUGUAAAGAUCAUUCGAGGCCCUUUCGAAUGACGCCCGCCUAGCAAAACUUUUUAUACCAAUUAAUCACACUUAUUAUGUUGUAUGUGUAAAGCACUAUCUCGUACUACUAUGAGAUAAUAACACAAAUACAACCCUAUGCGGUGGAUCAUUUGGCUC
rnacentral:misc_RNA from 1 species